GACGAACCGUCCAAACGUUAUUCGGAAUCACUGGGCUUACAGAGUUCGUAGGCGGUCUGGAAAGUUGGGUGUGAAAUCCCUCGGCUCAACCGAGGAACUGCGCUUGAAACUACCAGACUCGAGGGAGAUAGAGGAAAGCGGAACUGAUGGUGGAGCGGUGAAAUGCGUUGAUAUCAUCAGGAACACCGGUGGCGAAGGCGCUUUCUGGGUCUUACCUGACGCUGAGGAACGAAAGCCAGGGGAGCGAAACGGG
rnacentral:rRNA from 1 species